AACGAACGCUGGCGGCAUGCCUAACACAUGCGAGUCGAACGAAAAGUCCGGGUUUUGUGGCGCACGGGUGCGUAAGGAGGGGGAAGCUGCACUUAGGUACGGAAUACCUCCCCGAAAGGGGUGCUAAUACCGGAUAAUGUCUUAGGACCAAGGAUUUAUUGCUUCUGGAUGGGCGCGCGUUGGAUUAGCUGGUUGGUAGGGUAAAAGCCUACCAAGGCGACGAUCGAUAGCUGGUCUGAGAGGAUGAUCAGCAACUCUUGGGCUGGGACACGGCCCAGACUCCUACGCGAGGGAGCAGAGGGUAAUAUAGGACAGUGGGCGAAAGCCUGAUCCAGCAAUGCCGGGUGAGUGAUGAAGGCCGUAGGGAUGUAAAGCGCUUUUACCCGGGAUGAUAAUGACGGUACCGGGUGAAUAAGCUCCGGCUAACUCCGUG
rnacentral:rRNA from 1 species